UUUUGCUUUGCUCAUGAAGGUCGUGGCCUGCUUCGCGAAGGUUCUCUCUGCGACUGGAAGGUUUCUCUGCUCAAAAGUUUGCUCUGCUCACGAAGGUCACAGCCUGCUCCGCGAAGGUCUCUCUGCGACUGGAAGGUUUCUUUGCUCAAAAGGUAUGUUUGAGAGCUGAAGGUCAUGGGACGCGGGUCGCGGGUUGCAUCUCUCUCGUGAAGUUCGCGGGUUGCAUCUCUCUCACAAAGUUUGUGGGUUGCCCUAUUCACGAUGGUCUCAGAGCUCACGAGAUCUAAAUUGAGAAACAGGGUUGGACUGCAGAGAAUUAGAUCAUCUGGAAUGGUGCUUUCAGCUUUCCAUCUUCUUUUCAGCUUACCUGCAUGUGAGCAAGUGAAACAUGAUUGUACCUUUUCUUGUAAGUUCUUCUUAGAGACAUGGUUACAGGAAAAAACCAGUUUGUAGGUUCUUCAUGGAGCAAGUGAAACAUGAUUGUACCCAUUCAUUUAACUGAAAAGUAGGUCCAGCCUCAAAAUUAAUUCAUAAUUGGAGAAGUUAAUCUGAC